AAAGAGAAGUGACUUAGUGGCGGACGGGUGAGUAACGCGUGGGUAACCUGCCUUAUACAGGGGGAUAACAGUUGGAAACGACUGCUAACACCGCAUAAGCGCACAGUGUCGCAUGACACAGUGUGAAAAUAUUUAUAGGUAUAAGAUGGACCCGCGUCUGAUUAGCUAGUUGGUGAGGUAACGGCCCACCAAGGCGACGAUCAGUAGCCGGGUUGGGAGAGAGAACGGCCGCAUGGGGACUGAGACACGGCCCAA
rnacentral:rRNA from 1 species